rnacentral:rRNA from 1 species
GCAGUAGGGGAAUCUUCCACCAAUGACGCAAAUCCUAUUGUAGCAACGCCGCUUGAGUCUAAGAGGGUUUCGGAUCGUCAAAGUCUGUUGUUUGUGGAGAAACGAUAGAGGUAGUAACUGCCUUUUUUUGGCCGGUAAUCAACCAGAAAAGUCACGGCUAACUCGUUGCCAGGCAGCGCGGUUAUUUCGUAGGUGGCCAGCGGUUGUCCGGAUUUUUUGGGGGGAAAGCGAGGGCCCGGCCGGAAGAAAUAAAUUUGGAGGGGAAAGCCCUCCGCUUAACCGAAGGAACUGCAUCGGAAACUUUUUUUUCUGGGGGCAAGAAGAGGAGAAUUGGAACUCCCUUUGGUAGCCGGUGGGAAUGCGUAGAUUUUUUGGAAGGAACCCCCGUGGGCAAGGCGGCUUUUCUUGGUCUGCCAACUGACGCUGAGGCUUCGAAAACCUUGGGUUGCGAACCAGGAUUUAGAUAACCCGGUGGGUCCAUGCCCUUAAACGAUGGGGGCUAAAUGUUGGGAGGUUUCCCCCUCUCAGGUCCGGAGCUAACGCAUUAAGCACUCCGCCUGGGGAGUACGACCGCAAGGUUGAAACUCAAAGGAAUUGACGGGGGGCCGCACAAGCGGUGGAGCAUGUGGUUUAAUUCGAAGCAACGCGAAGAACCUUACCAGGUCUUGACAUCUAGUGCCAUUUGUAGAGAUACAAAGUUUCCUUCGGGGACGCUAAGACAGGUGGUGCAUGGCUGUCGUCAGCUCGUGUCGUGAGAUGUUGGGUUAAGUCCCGCAACGAGCGCAACCCUUGUUAUUAGUUGCCAGCAUUAAGUUGGGCAUUCUAAUGAGACUGCCGGUGACAAACGGAGGAAGGCGGGA